rnacentral:rRNA from 1 species
AGGAUCAUUCGCAAUGGACGAAAGUCUGACGAUGCGACGCUGCGUGGAGGAUGAAGGCCUUCGGGUCGUAAACUCCUGUCAUGAGGGAAAAGGCGAGGGCACCCAACACGUGCCUGAGUUGAUUGUACUUCAAGAGGAAGGGACGGCUAACUCUGUGCCAGCAGCCGCGGUAAUACAGAGGUCCCUAGCGUUGUUCGGAUUUACUGGGCGUAAAGGGCGCGUAGGCGGCGCCGCAAGCCGAGUGUGAAAUCUCCGGGCUCAACCCGGAAAGUGCGCUCGGGACUGCGUCGCUGGAGGACGGGAGAGGGAAGGGGAAUAUAGGGUGUAGCGGUGAAAUGCGUUGAUAUCCUAUAGAACACCGGAGGCGAAGGCGCCUUCCUUGAACGUGACUGACGCUGAGGCGCGAAAGUCGGGGGAGCAAACA